AUUGAACGCUGGCGGCAGGCUUAACACAUGCAAGUCGAGCGGGGGAAGGUAGCUUGCUACCGGACCUAGCGGCGGACGGGUGAGUAAUGCUUAGGAAUCUGCCUAUUAGUGGGGGACAACAUCUCGAAAGGGAUGCUAAUACCGCAUACGUCCUACGGGAGAAAGCAGGGGAUCUUCGGACCUUGCGCUAAUAGAUGAGCCUAAGUCGGAUUAGCUAGUUGGUGGGGUAAAGGCCUACCAAGGCGACGAUCUGUAGCGGGGCGGAGAGGAUGAUCCGCCACACUGGGACUGAGACACGGCCCAGACUCCUCCGGGAGGCAGCAGUGGGGAAUAUUGGACAAUGGGGGGAACCCUGAUCCAGCCAUGCCGCGUGUGUGAAGAAGGCCUUAUGGUUGUAAAGCACUUUAAGCGAGGAGGAGGCUACUUUAGUUAAUACCUAGAGAUAGUGGACGUUACUCGCAGAAUAAGCACCGGCUAACUCUGUGCCAGCCGCCGCCGUAA
rnacentral:rRNA from 1 species